GGCGCCACCUGGCGGCCUACCUGGGCAAGUCUGACGAGGUGCGGGAGCCCAAUGGGCCGGCUGAGGCAUGGUGUGGGAGCCUGCCGAGCCAACCGAGGCUUGUGAGGCGGUUGAGGUGCGGGAGCCUGACAAGCCGGCCAUGGGAGGCCGACGUGCCCGGCCGAGGCGCGGGAACUCGACGGGCCAGCUGAGACAUGGCGUGGGAGCCAACCGAGGCUUGUGAGCCAGCUGAGGCAUGGGAGACUGACGAGCUAGCUGAGGCAUCCCCGGUUGCGUCGGCAGCGGCCGACGUCACCAACAAGAACAAAAAAAACACUCCCUGAUGCUUUCAAUUGUGGUGUCUGCAUUCUGUAACGGUUCCAUAAUCACAGACGCUGGGAGACAGGAAGCAAGUACUGGUGGCAGAAAAUGGCGGAGCACCAACCCACCAUCACUUAAAACCCACUGCUCUCCCUACACCUGUGAAGGAGCUCUCUCAUUCUCUCUCUCUCCCUUUACCCCCCCCACACUUAUCUCCAUAUAAUAAAUCCUCAUAAUUUUCAAAUGUAUGGUUUGCGCUUUAUGAAGACAUUGUGAAGAAUUAUUAGGAUCUAAUAUAAUCGUAUAUUAUUGUUUAAUGACAUUAACAUAAACAUCUACAUGCAGUAGGACAGAUCUACAAUUUGUACAAUGAAUCAGGGAAGCAGCAGAUACGGCAGUCAGUCGGCAGUGCCAGGAGGACACAAUGGUAUAUUAUAUUUUGUAGUUAAUUUUUCUAACCCUAAUCAGAUUCUUAUCACCAAUAUCAUUCUAAUAUGCAUGUAAAUUCAAAUGUACCUCCUGUGGUAUCCCAGGAGGUCUACCCCGGGUGAUGGUAAUAGAGGGUAUGUACGUGAGGCGACGUUGGCUCCCUCUUCUGGGAAUACGGGAGCUGGGCACCCCGACACGGACAGCUCUAAGUGGAGGUAAUUAGAGGAAAGUGCCAAACAGCCGUGGAGGCCAAAUAAAAGGAGCACGGUGGCACACCGCGAGAGAGAACGGGGAGAGACAGACACCAAGCAAAAGUAGAGAAGGACUGAGCCAAACCUAAGUGAUUUUCUUUGUUAUAUUUAUUUUCUGUCUUAGUAAAGUUGUUUUUUCCGACUAAA
ensembl:lncRNA